UAGGGAAUCUUCGGCAAUGGGGGGCAACCCUGACCGAGCAACGCCGCGUGAGUGAAGAAGGUUUUCGGAUCGUAAAGCUCUGUUGUAAGAGGAGAACGUGUGUGAGAGUGGAAAGUUCACACAGUGACGGUAACUUACCAGAAAGGGACGGCUAACUACGUGCUAG
rnacentral:rRNA from 1 species